UGGAUCACCAGUGAGUGGCGGACGGGUGAGUAACACGUAGGUAACCUGCCCCGGAGCGGGGGAUAACAUUUGGAAACAGAUGCUAAUACCGCAUAACAACAAAAGCCACAUGGCUUUUGUUUGAAAGAUGGCUUUGGCUAUCACUCUGGGAUGGACCUGCGGUGCAUUAGCUAGUUGGUAAGGUAACGGCUUACCAAGGCGAUGAUGCAUAGCCGAGUUGAGAGACUGAUCGGCCACAAUGGAACUGAGACACGGUCCAUACUCCUACGGGAGGCAGCAGUAGGGAAUCUUCCACAAUGGGCGCAAGCCUGAUGGAGCAACACCGCGUGAGUGAAGAAGGGUUUCGGCUCGUAAAGCUCUGUUGUUGGAGAAGAACGUGCGUGAGAGUAACUGUUCACGCAGUGACGGUAUCCAACCAGAAAGUCACGGCUAACUACGUGCCAGCAGCCGCGGUAAUACGUAGGUGGCAAGCGUUAUCCGGAUUUAUUGGGCGUAAAGCGAGCGCAGGCGGUUGCUUAGGUCUGAUGUGAAAGCCUUCGGCUUAACCGAAGAAGUGCAUCGGAAACCGGGCAACUUGAGUGCAGAAGAGGACAGUGGAACUCCCAUGUGUAGCGGUGGAAUGCGUAGAUAUAUGGAAGAACACCCAGUGGCGAAAGGCGGCUUGUCUGGGUCUGCCAACUGAACGCUGAAGGCUCGAAAG
rnacentral:rRNA from 1 species